AUAACCAGUGUUGCAUAGCCAGUGACCCAAGUUGACAUCAAAGAAGGUCAGUAAAGAGCGGUGCAUACCCUGUGGCACAUACCCAGAGAUCCAAAUUUGCAUCAAAGGUUCAUUGAAGAGUGGUGCAUGUCCAGUGGCACACAACCAGUGUUGCACUGCCAGUGACCCAAGUUGACAUCAAAGAGGGUCAGUAAAGAGCGGUGCAUACCCUGUGUCACAUACCCAGAGAUCCAAAUUUGCAUCAAAAGUUCAUUGAAGAGUGGUGCAUGUCCAGUGGCACACAACCAGUGUUGCACAGCGAGUGACCCAAGUUGCCAUCAAAGAGGGUCAGUAAAGAGCGGUGCAUACCCUGUGGCACAUACCCAGAGAUCCAAAUUUGCAUCAAAGGUUCAUUGAAGAGUGGUGCAUGUCCAGUGGCACACAACCAGUGUUGCACAGCCAGUGACCCAAGUUGCCAUCAAAGAGGGUCAGUAAAGAGCGGUGCAUACCCUGUGGCACAUACCCAGAGAUCCAAAUUUGCAUCAAAGGUUCAUUGAAGAGUGGUGCAUGUCCAGUGGCACACAACCAGUGUUGCACAGCCAGUGACCCAAGUUGCCAUCAAAGAGGGUCAGUAAAGAGCGGUGCAUACCCUGUGGCACAUAC
rnacentral:lncRNA from 1 species